rnacentral:rRNA from 1 species
AAGCAUAUAAUUAACCGAAGGAAAAGAAACUAACUAGGAUUCCCUCAGUAAGGGCGACUGAACCGGGAAAAGAUCAUCUUGUGAAUCUGUACAGGCUUGUCUUGUGCCGAGUUGUGAUGUAAAGACGCAAAAUCAGUGGGGGUUCUGGACUAAGUCCCUUGGAAAAGGGCAGCAGAGAGGGUGAGACUCCCGUUCUUGUCUAGGACUUGCUACUAUGGUAUUUGUUGUCAACGAGUCGAGUUGCUUGGGAUUGCAGCUCAAAGUGGGAUGUAAAUUCAUUCUAAAUCUAAAUAUUGGUGGGAGACCGAUAGUGUACAAGUACCGUGAGGGAAAGAUGCAAAGAACUUUGAAAAGAGAGUUAAAGAGUACCUGAAAUUGCUGAAAGGGAAGCAAAGGAAACCAGUGCUUUGCCUACUAUUUUUCUCUUGCUGCUUGCAGCUAGGGCGCUGUGGUAGGUUUUAGGCCAGCAUGGGUUUGGCUUGGGACAAAUGGCUCUUCAGGAGGUAGGUCCUUCGGGACUGUUAGACUGUUGAGUUUUGUCUCUGGCUGGAUCGAGGCUAGUCACUUUGUGCAUGUGAUGCUGGCAAAAUGGUUUUCUUUACCCCGUCUUGAA